GAAGGAGCAAGAGUGAAUGACAAGGGAUUUUAGUAUGGGUGUUUGCUCAGCAUGCUGUCUCAUGUCUACCCUAUUGUGCAGCCUGACUAAAGAAUGGGUGGUCUGAUUCCUGCUGUCUGCAGGCCUGCACCUCUAGAAUCAUAGAAUAUCUUGAGUUGGAAGGAACCCAUAAGGAUCAUCACAUCCAGCUCCUGAAAAUGCGAUCUGCUGAGUGAUAGGGUGAGAAUAAGGCAUCUGUCCUGUGUGGUUGAGUUCCUACUGACCUCAGAUGUCUUCAGAAAAAUGUAAACAGCCUGAGUAUGGGUGUUUAUAUGGAGUAAAUAUAUUAAUACGCAGUCAGAUGAAUUGCAGUCCAGGUGGCAGCGUACCAAUAUUUUGUUAGCAUCAGUAAUUUCAGGUUCUUACAUGAAUAGACUUUUCAUUUUAACUGCAUACAUGAGGGGAAAAUCACUUUCUUGCGGGGUGUAGGCAUAAUACCACUGUGCUGCUCAAGGCCAAUGAGAAAGCAGCAGAAGUAGUAAGUGUUCCUAUAGAGAUAUGCAGAAGGCUGGGCACAAAAAUCUGCAGGAUUGUAGCAGAAAUGCUAAGUCAUGACCUGAACCAGUGAUUGAGCACCUGGUGGGAAGGCAGGGCCAACCCAGGGGAUCUCAGGUGCAUGCAAUGCUCCUGAGUGACUGGAAGGGGUGGAGCCAGGAUCCACCCCUUCCCAGACCUCAUUUAAGAGCUGGCAGUGGAGGCAAAAGUCUUUUUCUGGAGGUGCCUGUGUACCUGAGGCCUUCUGAAGGAUAUUUAUUCUGGUAUGAGGACCAGGAUGUCUCCUUUGGAAAUCCAGCCACAUGUCUGGAGUAGAUUCUAUUUUUCCUAUUCCAAGCCUGAAGCCAGUCAAAACAUCCAUUAGAUCAUAACACUAAAAGACCUUCAGUGGCUCAGGAUGGUGCUGUUACAGAGACCAAUGGUCUGAUUGAUUGUAAUCCUUCAGACUCAGUAUUCUGUUUUGGGAAAACUGG